CCUACGGGGGGCAGCAGUGGGGAAUAUUGCACAAUGGGGGAAACCCUGAUGCAGCGACGCCGCGUGAGGGAAGAAGUAUUUCGGUAUGUAAAGCUCUAUCAGCAGGGAAGAAAAUGACGGUACCUGACAAAGAAGCCCCGGCUAACUACGUGCCAGCAGCCGCGGUAAUACGUAGGGGGCAAGCGUUAUCCGGAUUUACUGGGUGUAAAGGGAGAGUAGGCGGUUGAGCAAGUCAGAAGUGAAAGCCCGGGGCUCAACUCCGGGAAUGCUUUUGAAACUGUUGAACUAGAGUGCAGGAGAGGUAAGUGGAAUUCCUAGUGUAGCGGUGAAAUGCGUAGAUAUUAGGAGGAACACCAGUGGCGAAGGCGGCUUGCUGGACUGUAAAUGACGCUGAGGCUCGAAAGCGUGGGGAGCAAACAGGAUUAGAUACCCCAGUAGUC
rnacentral:rRNA from 1 species